GUUAAAAUUGAGUGGGAAAUAGAAGGUAAGGAAUAAGAUUGUAAACCUAUUAUCUGGUCCACACUCCGGAGCAGAAGGGGGCGGUAAUGCACCAAUAAGCUGGAUGCCAACCGCCGUAAAACCAGAAAGAAGAAGAAGAUGAUAGUGGACAGCAUGGUGUGCUUUGUGUUCCUUCUUGGCCCUGAGAGAACAUCCUUGUAGGGAAACUUAGUUGUUUGCUGCUCAAUUAAGAAUUUUUGUUUAUGGGCUUCCUUUCCUUACUCAUCAAGUCAUGCUAUGGGAUUAAUGUUGAGGUGCUAUCCUUGAAGAGACUGAUGGGCCAGGGCACAUGGGACAUUUCCUACAUUAUAUGUCUGGACUUUAUCACAAGUACAAGUACUCUUUCCAGCCUUUCUGUGAUUUCUUGUUUUGGGUUACUGAUUGAUUUCUACUAUUUUUUUUUAUUUUUAUUUUUUUAUUGUGUUUGGUCAUUGUUUGUACUGAUGUGAUUGGAGAAGGUCUGUUCAGCUAUGGUUUAUUCAUGUAUUGUGUAAAGGGAGAUCUCUGAAGAAUCGAGUCAUUGAUAAGUGUGGAUUUUGUAUAUGGUAUGUUUGCAUAUCAAAUGAACUUAAUCAGCAAAUGGGUUUGAAAACUCUUUAUUGAUGUGAAGUAUUGUGUGAAGUAAUACAGUAGAUCCCUCCUUCAAAA